rnacentral:rRNA from 1 species
UACGUAGGGGGCUAGCGUUGUCCGGAAUCAUUGGGCGUAAAGAGCGCGUAGGCGGCCAGAUAAGUCCGGUGUGAAAGUCACAGGCUCAACCUGUGAAUGCCGCUGGAAACUGUCUGGCUAGAGUCCGGAAGGGGCGAGUGGAAUUCCUGGUGUAGCGGUGAAAUGCGCAGAUAUCAGGAGGAACACCAAUAGCGAAGGCAGCUCGCUGGGACGGUACUGACGCUGAGGCGCGAAAGCCAGGGGAGCAAACGGG